rnacentral:rRNA from 1 species
CGCCUGGGGAGUACGGGUGAGGUAACGGCUCACCAAGGCAUCGACGGGUAGCUGGUCUGAGAGGACGAUCAGCCACACUGGGACUGAGACACGGCCCAGACUCCUACGGGAGGCAGCAGUAGGGAAUCUUGCGCAAUGGGCGAAAGCCUGACGCAGCAACGCCGCGUGGGGGAUGAAUGCCUUCGGGUUGUAAACCCCUUUCAGCAGGGACGAAAAUGACGGUACCUGCAGAAGAAGCUCCGGCCAACUACGUGCCAGCAGCCGCGGUAAUACGUAGGGAGCGAGCGUUGUCCGGAAUUAUUGGGCGUAAAGAGCUCGUAGGCGGUUCGGUAAGUCGGGUGUGAAAACUCAAGGCUCAACCUUGAGACGCCACUCGAUACUGCUGUGACUUGAGUCCGGUAGAGGAGUGUGGAAUUCCUGGUGUAGCGGUGAAAUGCGCAGAUAUCAGGAGGAACACCAGCGGCGAAGGCGGCACUCUGGGCCGGUACUGACGCUGAGGAGCGAAAGCAUGGGGAGCAAACAGGAUUAGAUACCCUGGUAGUCCAUGCCGUAAACGUUGGGCACUAGGUAUGGGAUCAUAUCAACGGAUUCCGUGCCGUAGCUAACGCAUUAAGUGCCCCGCCUGGGGAGUACGG